rnacentral:rRNA from 1 species
UACGUAGGUGGCAAGCGUUGUCCGGAUUUACUGGGCGUAAAGGGCGCGCAGGCGGCUGGUCAAGUCCGAUGUGAAAUCUCCCGGCUUAACUGGGAAACUGCAUCGGAAACUGAUCGGCUUGAAGGUGGGAGAGGGUAGUGGAAUUCCCGGUGUAGUGGUGAAAUGCGUAGAUAUCGGGAGGAACACCAGUGGCGAAGGCGACUACCUGGCCCAUUCUUGACGCUGAGGCGCGAAAGCUAGGGGAGCGAACGGG